ACGUUUUAGGAGGUUCUACAUGA
rnacentral:piRNA from 1 species